UUUGGUAAUAAUAUGUUUUUUUUAGGAUGUUAAAGGUCUGUUCUGGUGUGCUUGUAUUUGAUUGUGCAAAUCUAGCUUAGUGACGUGUUAGAACUUCUGUUUUUCUGAAUUUCCUUAGCUUAGUCGACACUAGUUAAUGGAUACGUGACGAUCUCUCUUCUUGACACAGUGUUCAUUUGUAUUUCGUUGGGGGUAUGUUUGGAAAUGAAUUUUGGUGAAAUUCUUAAGGCUUAUCCGUUUGAGAGUUUAGUAUUUGGACACUGUAAGAGAACACAGACGGGAAUCGACAGGAGCUUCUAGUAAAAAGAAAUUCAACUAAAGGUCUAGAAAAAUUCGUACCCAAUUCUGAUUCAUCUUGAGUGUUUGAAGGUGAUGAGUUUCAUGUUCUAAUAUGCUAUUUCCGUGGAGAUUUUGAAGUAAAUGAAAAGGGUUUCCUUUGUUCUUGAGUUUUGAUUGAAGGUGUCCCUGGAUUCUGUACGCGGAUUACGAAGAUUGAGGUUUGAGUAGCUGGAGUUGAGUGGCAGGUAACUGUGAUGUAAGUGGUGUCGAUUUGGGCGAAGGAGAAUUUAACGUUUGGGUCGAUUAGUUGUCUUAACUUAUGUCCUUGAGAGAUCAUUGCGGGUCUCAGUAGUACUGUGCAGUCUAAUAUCUUUCUGAAGGUGUAUUUUCUUGAGUUUUUUUGAUUGUAAGUAAGGCUCUACUUUCUGUAUGUAUAUAUUGUAUAUCACCAGAACAACACACUUAUAUAUUAGAUGGUUAUGUAUAUUAUGAAUACCCUAGUUUGUAUCCUUGUUUUGACUUGGAAGUUUUAUUCUCAGUUGAGAUAGUUUUGAUUUUGGAAUCCCAAGUACUGAUUUAGGAAAAGGGGCGCUACAAAGUUGGUAUCAGAGCCCAUUAGUAGAUCUUAUAUGGGCGCUUCGUAAAAGCUAGAAUUAAAAGACAUCAAGAAUAAAAUUCUUACUAAAUGUGGUAAUUGAUAUUUGUUGUGGUUUGUGAGUAGUGUGCUUAUAAUAUGUCUUGUAAAGUUUAGAUAUUAAGAUUUAUAUUCUUGUUGCGGCGGCAGAGAAUGGCAGAUAAUAAUGAAAAUCAGAGUUUGGAGGGCGGAAAUGGUCAGCAUAUUGAGAGUAGUAAUCUGGAUAUAUUAAUGAAGUCUAUGGCAGAGAUGAGGCAACAUCAACUGUUAUUGGAAGAAAGGCUUGGGAUUUUGCAUCCACGACACAACUCAGGGAGUGCAGGUCAGACUUCGAACCAAGGGGAUCUGAUUACGCCAGCACGGAAUCAAAAUCAACUAGGACAGUUACUUCCACAGUAUGUAAAGCUCGCUCUAGAGGAAUUCAAUGGCAGCCCACCAAAUCCCGGGAAGGCGGAAGAAUGGUUGCAACAUGCAGAACAUGUUUUAGAACAUGUAACCGAUGAUAGACAUAUGUGGGUCAAGUUGGCUACCUACAGAUUUCGAGGACCAGCACGAGAUUGGAGAAAGGCAGUAAUGAAAGCGGAUGGGGAAGUAAUGACCUGGAAUAGGUUCAAAGAUUUGUUCACGGACAAGUAUGUACCUGAUGCGGCAAGAGAUAGAAAAUUUCGUAAGUUUAUGUUUUUAACGAAGGGGGUAUGUCUGUUAGCGCUUAUAAUGAUAAAUUUAUAAGGUUGUCGCGUUAUGGAGAAGAGUUAAUAGCCACUGAUGAGGCUAAAGCGAAGAAAUUUAUUAGAGGAUUGGAUCCCGAGAUGCGGAAACAACUUUCAUGUUUACGAAUCAGGACUUAUGAGGAUGCUUUGAAUCGAUCUCUAGAUUAUGAAAAAGAGAUGGAAGAUCAACUUGCAACACGAGUUAGAGAAAGGCCGUAACAAUUUUCAGCAAGACAAGGUCCAGCUAAACGGCCAAUGUUUUCUGCUCCUAAUCAGACUUUUGGAAGACCACCAGUAAGACCAUGGACAACAGGAUCAACAUCAGCACCACCUGCAACACGUCCACCUUCAGUUAGACCUCAAGGGAGAUGGAUACGUUUCCAGCAAGUACGUCCGGACGCACCAACAAGUUCUGGUACGAAUUCCUUUCAGUGUCAUGGCGGUGAAUGUGGUCAUUUUAAGAGGGAUUACCAAAAGAACCCACCAACAGGGUUAACUCAACAAGGAGAAAUUUAUGCAAUGGAGCCAGUAAUGACUACUAAUCAAGAAGAAUCAGAAGAGAGUCAAGUAUUGUAUACAUUGGUGGAAGGGGUUGACUCGGCGACCGAUCAGGUGGUUGAAAGUAAGAUGUUAUUAUUCAAUCACUUAGUGCAUGUGCUGAUUGACACUGGUUCUACUCAAUCAUUUAUUAACCUAAGCAUAGCAACUGAAUUGGGGUUAGACAUGUUAUGUAAUAAUAAUACUUUAGCUUUAGCUACGCCAUUAGGGAGAAAAACUUUUCCUUUUCGGGUUUGCAAGAAUUGUUUGAUGAUGGUUAAUGAUCAGGAAUUAACUGCA